AAGCAUAAGGUGUGUUGUAACUAGUAAUUACUACCUAACGUACAUCAGAAUGUAAUGUAGAGUUGUAAUUAUCCUACUCGGACUCAAUUUGUCUUAUUUACACAUCACGACCUGCAGGAGAAUCUGGAUGAAUUUUGCAAUGCCUCGGGGACAGAAUUUGAGAUUCCUGCAAACUUUGAUGAGCAGGUGGUUGAUUUUUAUGAUUGCAACAUCGAGACUCACUGGCCAGGAACUUGAUAUAUACAUGCUGACUACGGGACGCUUGAAGUGCGCAUGGUUUCUUGUUGGCCAGAAUGAAGGUGCAAUGCUGGUGGCCCUCCGACUAACUUUGGAUUUUCAUGCCCUGGUUAAUGUUUUCUAACACAAACCUUAUACAGAAAUCCCAUGCGUAUGUUACAACUAGCUAGAUCAUUUCGGAGCUCAGUGAUAUAAUGUGAAUAAGUUUCCGGUUUUGCUCUCUCCUUUCUACCCCUUUGCCCUUUGUGAAUAACUGUAGUAGGAUCGUGCCAGAAAAUGUGAUUGUCUGCCAUUUACGUAGUAGCGAAUUGACCCUUGUAA